rnacentral:rRNA from 1 species
AGCGAAACGCUGGCGGCAGGCUUAAUACAUGCAAGUCGAGCGCCUGUAGCAAUACAGGAGCGGCAGACGGGAGAGUAACACGUGGGAACGUGCCCUUUGGUUCGGAACAACACAGGGAAACUUGUGCUAAUACCGGAUAAGCCCUUACGGGGAAAGAUUUAUCGCCAAAGGAUCGGCCCGCGUCUGAUUAGCUAGUUGGUGGGGUAAUGGCCCACCAAGGCGACGAUCAGUAGCUGGUCUGAGAGGAUGAUCAGCCUCAUUGGGACUGAGACACGGCCCAAACUCCUACGGGAGGCAGCAGUAGGGAAUAUUGGACAAUGGCGCAAGCCUGAUCCA